rnacentral:rRNA from 1 species
CAGCACCUCAAGUGGUCAGGAUGAUUAUUGGGCCUAAAGCAUCCGUAGCCGGCUCUGUAAGUUUUCGGUUAAAUCUGUACGCUCAACGUACAGGCUGCCGGGAAUACUGCAGAGCUAGGGAGUGGGUGAGGUAGACGGUACUCGGUAGGAAGGGGUAAAAUCCUUUGAUCUAUUGAUGACCACCUGUGGCGAAGGCGGUCUACCAGAACACGUCCGACGGUGAGGGAUGAAAGCUGGGGGAGCAAACCGGAUUAGAUACCCGAGUAGUCC